GAGAGUAUAGCUCAGGGGUAGAGUGCGUUCUUAGCGUGCCCGAGGUCCUGGGUUCAAUCCCCAGUACCUCCU
rnacentral:tRNA from 1 species